UGACCAUUGGGACUGACCUUUAGCGACUACCAUUAAGAUUUAGUUUGCUUUUGAAAGACUAUUACUAUAUACCUGUAGUCAGUAGAAAUUUGAUUUCUAUCUUUGUGCUAGCACAGGAUAAUUACAAUUUUUAUUUCAAUAAAGAUAUGUGUUCUAUUUAUUUUGAAAAUAAACUUAUGGCACGUGCUUUCUUGAUUGACGAUCUUUACCAUUUGCAUAUGGAUGUAAGUGUAA
rnacentral:lncRNA from 1 species